rnacentral:rRNA from 1 species
AUUGAACGCUGGCGGCAGGCCUAACACAUGCAAGUCGAGCGGAUGACGGGAGCUUGCUCCUUGAUUCAGCGGCGGACGGGUGAGUAAUGCCUAGGAAUCUGCCUGGUAGUGGGGGACAACGUUUCGAAAGGAACGCUAAUACCGCAUACGUCCUACGGGAGAAAGCAGGGGACCUUCGGGCCUUGCGCUAUCAGAUGAGCCUAGGUCGGAUUAGCUAGUAGGUGAGGUAAUGGCUCACCUAGGCGACGAUCCGGAACUGGUCUGAGAGGAUGAUCAGUCACACUGGAACUGAGACACGGUCCAGACUCCUACGGGAGGCAGCAGUGGGGAAUAUUGGACAAUGGGCGCAAGCCUGAUCCAGCCAUGCCGCGUGUGUGAAGAAGGCCUUCGGGUUGUAAAGCACUUUCAGUAGGGAGGAAGGGUGUUGUGUUAAUAGCACAGCAUUUUGACGUUACCUACAGAAGAAGCACCGGCUAACUCUGUGCCAGCCGCCGCCGUAAAAC